rnacentral:lncRNA from 12 species
CCCCACUUGGUUUCCCACCCUGGCUUCCAUGUUGUUCCUAUAUUCUCCCACCAUAUGGGCAACUGCAGGCAGAAGGUCCCAUGAGAACCAAACCAACCCAGGUAAAAGGGGGAGCAGAGCCUCCUAAAAGCUGAUGAGGAUCCUCCCAGGCUUCAUGGAUCAAGUCUUAGGCUCUUUCCCUUCCUGGGUCUUGUGUGUGUGUGUGUGUGUGUGUGUGUGUGUGUGUUUUCAAGGUUGAACUAAGCCAAUGGUUUUCAACCUUGUGCAUUAGAAUCACCUCCAGACCUUUUAUUCUGUUUUUUUUUUUUUAAAGAGUUUAUUUAUUCACGAGAGACACACACAGAAAGGGAAAAACAUAGGCAGAGGGAGAAGCAGGCUUCUCACAGGGAACCAGAUGCGGAACUCCAUCCCAGGACCCCAGGAUCACGGCCUGAGGCAAAGGUGGAUGCUCAACUGCUGAGCCACCCAGGCAUCCCACCUCCAGACCUUUUAAAUAUGAUCACACCCAUGCUGCAGACUACUAAUCAUGGCAGUCUCUGAGGUGCGCUCAGUACUCCGUGUUUUACCAUGCAGGUGAAAUUAUGUGAUUUUAACAUACAGCCAAGAGGGCUGUAGUGGCUGCUCUCUGAGAUGAUUGAUGCUACCAUCAAUCCUCACACUUCCUAACAUAAAUGCGGUUCUCCACAGAGAGGGGGAGCCUGUUCUUCCACUUCUUGAACCUGGGCAGAAAUGAUGAAUGCCGCUUCCAGUUUGGCUGAUAAGAGAGGUGGCAGUCUCUCUUUUCUUCCUCGUGAAACAUUUGUUCUUGGGAUGUUCCCACUCAGAACCCAGCUGCCAUGCCAUGGGAAGCCCAUACCACCUUGAGAGACCCAGUGAAGGUGGAGUCAAGUCAACAGCCCGGCCAGAACAGCUGAGAAGCCCUGGAUCAAGGGGAGCCAUCCACAGGCUCUGGAAUGAAGUCAAAUGGAGCAUCCUGAACCCAACCAGAAGCCUACCCCAGCCAAGCCCAGGCAAGCCUACUCAAGAUCAGCCAACUACAGCAGACCUCCUGCCUCAGGGGUAUGAAAUAAAGAGUUGGUUGUGGGAUUGUGUUUUAUGUAACAUCAUCACAAAAGUAACUGACUGAUACACCAGUCAUUCAGAUAGCCAUGCUAGAAACUUGAAUGUCACCCUUUACUCUCACCUCUUCUUCAUGCCUCACACUCCAACCCCAAGCCCCAAAUAUUCCUCAAAGCCAUCUCAUCCUUCCAGCCUCUCUGUUUCUGCCUUACUACAGGCUUCAUCUCUGGCUUAGAGUGACUUCCCAGUGGCCUUCCUGCCUUUAGAUUGAUCCACUCAAAUCCACUCUCCAGGGUGAGUUUCCUGAAGUGUAAAUCAGAA